AUUGAACGCUGGCGGCGUGCUUAACACAUGCAAGUCGAGCGGCAGCAGGCCCGCAAGGGUGCUGGCGAGCGGCGGACGGGUGAGCAAUACAUAGGAAUCUGCCUCAGAGCGGGGAAUAGCCCGGGGAAACCCGGAUUAAUGCCGCAUGAUGUCGAAAGACCAAAGUGGGGGAUCGCAAGACCUCACGCUCUGAGAUGAGCCUAUGUCCGAUUAGCUAGUUGGCGGGGUAAUGGCCCACCAAGGCAACGAUCGGUAGCUGGUCUGAGAGGACGAUCAG
rnacentral:rRNA from 1 species